GAUGAACGCUGGCGGCGUGCCUAACACAUGCAAGUCGAGCGAAGAGACGAGGAGCUUGCCUCUCUGACGUUACCAGCGGACGGGUGGUGAACACGUGGAUAGCCUCCCUAUAAGACUGGGAUAUCUUCGGGAGACCGGAGCUAAUACCCGGUAACAUAUUGAACCGCAUGGUUCAAGAGUGAAAGACCGUUUCGCUAUCGCUUAUACAUGGAUCCGCGCCGCAUUAGCUAGUUGGUAAGGUAACGGCCUACCAAGGCAACGAUGCGUAGCCGACCUGAGAGGGUGAUCGGCCACACUGGAACUGAGACACGGUCCAGACUGCUACGGGAGGCAGCAGUGGGGAAUAUUGGGCAAUGGGCGAAAGCCUGACGCAGCAACGCCGCGUGAGUGAUGAAGGUCUUCGGAUUGUAAAACUCUGUUAUUAGGAAAGAACACAUGUGUACUUAACUACGCACGUCUUGACGGUACCUAAUCAAUAAGCCACGGCUAGCUACGUG
rnacentral:rRNA from 1 species